AUGUUCUCUGUAGUUCUGCUGCUGCUUCUGGCUGCUGGAUCCUGUGUAAAGUGUGAACAGCUGACACAGCCAGCCUCUGUGAGUCUGCAGCCAGGUCAGAGGCUGACCAUCACCUGUCAGGUCUCUUAUUCUGUGAGCAGCUACUGGACAGCUUGGAUCAGACAGACUGCAGGGAAAGGACUGGAGUGGAUUGGGAUGAAAUACACUGGAGCCUCUUACUACAAAGAUUCACUGAAGAACAAGUUCAGCAUUGAUUUAGACUCUUCCAACAACAGAGUGACUCUAAAUGGACAGAACAUGCAGCCUGAAGACUCUGCUGUGUAUUUCUGUGCCAGAGUCACAGUAACACAAACCAUCAGCAGACCUGAACAAAAACCUCUCAGAGCCUGAAAACUCAACAUGAAUCCACCAGAGGAGGCGCUCUAACACUACUGGAUAUUUGUUCAGUAAAGGAGAAGAUAGUCACAACUUUUAUUUGUUUUUGAAGGAUGAAAUAAAUGAAAUGUAGUCUGACAAUUGUCGAAAUUUAAAGAAAAUGCUUUAUGUAAUCUUUAAUUUAACAUUUGAGUGGACAUAUAAAUUGAUUUUUGGUAAAUAAUGACUAUCAUUAGAAUUGCAAAGGCAAAUGCAUGAGACUUGGUUUGUGGAACUAUAACUUAAAAACAAAGUUACGCUAAUUUGACAAAAAAUCAAUACACAUAGACUUAACAAAACUGGACUCUAAAAACCUGAAAUUAGGGGAAACAUGACUAGUAAACUUUUAUUCCAAAUAUUUUGUUACAUUAAAAAAAACCAAGACAGGGCUAAUAUUUUCUUUUUUUGAGAAUAUGUGAAGAAAUUGGUUUUUAUCAUUAUCAUUGUUCAAAUGUAGUUGUUUAAAUAUAUUUUAAAUGUUAACCUAGAUUGACCUUUUUACCUUUUAAAAAUACAGUUCUGUGUUUGUUUAUCUGCUUCUCUUCCCCAGGAUGACACACGACACACUGUCCUUAGCUGAUGAGGAAUACUGUUUGAACUGAGAAUCUUCCCAAAUGGUUCAUUACAUGACUCCCCUUCUCUCUGUUUGGAAAUUGUAACCUCCUACUUGAAUUCUCACUAAAAGGAGCACUGGGAGAAGCAGACCUUUGAGAAGAGAAGUUACUUGUGCAUAAGUAACUUUGAUUCUUGUUGUGGUUUGUGGUUUCUUAUUGUGUUUUUCUUCAAUGUCUAGAUGCAUUUAUCUGACAGAAUAGAAACAAGAUUUUUCUGUCUGUACAAAAAAAAAAAA